GUGUCCGGGGGUGUCUCCCCGCCCGCUCUUGACGAAGUGUCGCUGUCCAAUUUGGCCGGCGUCUCCUCUGUCCUCUUCCAGGCCAGCACCAGGCUGGCGCUCAUCUCUCUUCUGGACUGGUUCGUCCCGCUCUUCUGGAAGGAGAAGGAGCUGACUCUCGUGGGGCUGCAGUACUCGGGGAGGACCGCGUUCCUCAGUGUCAUCGAGAAAGGAUCUCACUAUACAUACUAUACAAUACAUAGUUUGAGGUUGACCUCAAACUCACUCGGUAACCCAGGCCAGCCCUGAACUCAAGGACAUCCUCCUGCCUCAGCCUCCUAAGUACCGAGAUUACAAGCAUGUGCCAGUUUUAGUGCUUAAACUUUGGAUUUUGUUGUUUUCUACAAUAGGCUGCACGCUGCAUUGGAAGGACCUUGGGAGACCCUCAAACCACACAAUGGAGGCAGUGACGGUUGAGAAUGUGGCUAUAACCUUCACCAAGGGGUAAUAGGGUAUGCUGAAUCCAUCUCAAAAGAUGCUCUACAGAGAUGUGAUGUGGGAAACAUUUGUGAAUAUGGCUGCUAUAGGAAGAAUGUGGGAUAACCAGGAAAUUGAUGUAGCAUACAAAAGUUUCUGGAGAAAUGUAAGAAAUGAAAAGGUAGAGAAAUGCUAUCAAUAUAAAGCUUGGAAUCAACAUGAAGUAAUAUUCGUUUGGACUCAAGAUGCCAAUAUGAGCAUGAAGGAAGCUCAUUUAAAACAAGAUGAAAAAUUUGCUUGUAGAAAGUCCUUGAUUCGUCAUUCAUUGCCAAAUGUCCCCAUCAUAGCUCACACUGGACACAAAACAUGUGAGUAUGAGGGAUUUGAAGAGAUACUGUCUAAAUGUAAUGGACCUGGGAAAACCUGCAGUGAUUCCCAGUCCUUUCAGAAGCAUGAAAGGAGAAAGACUAUAGAGAAUGCAUAUAAAUAUAAGGAAUGUAGGAAAGCCUACUACGAUCUUAGUGAAAGACUUUACUGUAAAGUGAAGCCCUUUGAAUGUAAGAAAACUGUGAAAGUCUCUAGCACACCCCAUGACAUUGAAAUACAUGAAAGAAGACACAUUGAGGGAAAUCUAUAUGUAGGUAAACAAUCUGGGAAAACAUUUUCUACAUGCAAAUAUUGGCAAAGACAUGAAAGAAGUGACACUGAUGAGAAACCCUAUGAAUGCAAGCAAUGUAGAAAAUUAUUCACUACAACCAAAUAUUUGAAAGUACAUGAAAGAAUUCACACUGGGGAGAAACCCUAUGAAUGCAAGCAAUGUGGGAAAGCAUUCACUACACACAGUUCUUGUGAAAGACAUGAAAGAAAUCACACUGGUGAGAAACCCUAUGUAUGUAAGCA